GGCCUGGUAGCACAAUGAUUAGUGCGUCUGCCAGCAUUUAAAAGAUGGUGAAGGAAAAUAUACGCAGAUGAUCCCGGUUCGAUUCCGGGUCAGGUCC